UGGCACCGCGGGGGCAAACGCGGCUGCGGAAACGUCCCCGCAGUUCUCGCAAAAGUACCGAGAACGGAAAAUCAGUGAUGGCGGUGACGUCGCCGUGAGCGGCCGCGUCGGCUUCAGAAAUAAACAGGGACCGGGGGAACGGCCGCCAAAUGUCCCGCUCGGUACCGCGUGCCCGCUUUCUGGCGGCCGUGCCUUACCCUCGCCUUUGAUUCCUCGGGAAAAGCGGCCGGAGGGCGCCGGGACGCGGCUUUUUUCCCCGGCCCGGUGGACGCCCAGGUCGGCUUUGUCAUGACCAACCCGGCUCCGGGAGGCACUCCAUCGGGUUGUCCCGCAGCUCCCUCAGCUACCGCGGUUCCUCACGGCUCCCGGCGGCUCUCGGUGUCCCGCGGUCCCACCCCUCGCUCCCGGCAGCGGGUUCCAUUUGUGGGACCCUCCUACGGAACGAAGUGGUUCUGUGGGGCGAAGGCAUCGACGUCGGGGCACUGGGAAGAGGACAUCUCUUUUUUCCUCACCGAAGAGGACAUCAGCAUUUGUCGCGGUUCCACCACCGCACGGCUCCUGCCGGUGGGGAGCGACGCGUCGCCACCGCGGUGGGCAAAGGCAGAACAAAAACGAUGAGAGAGAAAUAGAUGGGAAAUGGGCAGAGUGUUUCGGGUUGCCUGCGGGAUGGGGCCAGGAAAUGCCAACUGCUGGGGCUCAGCCCUUUUACCACCUGCGAAUGGUUGCACCUCUGGUUUCCUGCGGAACCGCCCGCUCCCGCGCAGCACCAUCAAAAUACUAACAAUAAUAAUACUAGAUAAAUAUUUUUAGACGGUCCAAAACCGAAAGCCGGAGCCGCGUUUGUUCGGGCAGCGGAAAGGAACGAGCUCUCCCUUCGUGUCCACCGCUGGGUCUACGGGUGCGGACC
rnacentral:lncRNA from 1 species